CAAAAUGUAGCUUAACCAAAGCACUUAGUUUACACCUAAAAGAUUUCAAACAGAUUGAACAUUUUGA
rnacentral:tRNA from 1 species